rnacentral:lncRNA from 1 species
GUGCAGUGUAAUGUGUUGUUGUACAGGGUCAGCCAUAGUAGUAUGAUAGGUGUUGUUGUACAGGGUCAGCCAUAGUGGUAUGAUAGGUGUUGUUGUACAGGGUCAGCCAUAGUGGUAUGAUAGGUGUUGUUGUACAGGGUCAGCCAUAGUAGUGUGAUAGGUGUUGUUGUCCAGGGUCAGCCAUAGUAGUAUGAUAGGUGUUGUUGUACAGGGUCAGCCAUAGUAGUAUGAUAGGUGUUGUUGUACAGGGUCAGCCAUAGUGGUAUGAUAGGUGUUGUUUUACAGGGUCAGCCAUAGUGGUAUGGUAGGUGUUGUUGUACAGGGUCAGCCAUAGUAGUAUGAUAGGUGUUGUUGUACAGGGUCAGCCAUAGUGGUAUGAUAGGUGUUGUUGUACAGGGUCAGCCAUAGUAGUAUGGUAGGUGUUGUUGUACAGGGUCAGCCAUAGUAGUAUGAUAGGUGUUGUUGUACAGGGUCAGCCAUAGUGGUAUGAUAGGUGUUGUUGUACAGGGUCAGCCAUAGUGGUAUGAUAGGUGUUGUUGUACAGGGUCAGCCAUAGUGGUAUGAUAGGUGUUGUUUUACAGGGUCAGCCAUAGUAGUAUGAUAGGUGUUGUUGUACAGGGUCAGCCAUCUUGCUAGAUGGCCCUGCAACAGAUUCUUCACCUUGUCGGCUCGGGUUUUGAACCAGAGACCAUUCGGUUCCUGGCCCAAGGCUCCAACCGCUAGGCUACCUGACACAUUAUGGGAGGAGCCGGGAG